AAAUUGGAUCUUAUUUUUAUUUUCUUUUUAUAUCACAAUAGAUUCAUCACCGGCUCGUUGGGCGGAUUAUUUUUUGUAUUUUUUCUAAAUUUUGUUACAUGUAUUUUCUAUCGUAGACAGUGUAUGUUUGUUUGUAAAUGGGUUUCGAUCAAGGGUGAAAAUUGAGACAACGGGUUUUGGAUAGUUGAAAAUGUCAUAUAUGUGCCAUCGGCGAGUUUUUUGUUCUAUAUUUGAAUAUUUUGAACUAAAUUUAUGAUUGUU
rnacentral:lncRNA from 1 species